ACCUACGGGAGGCAGCAGUGGGGAAUAUUGCACAAUGGGCGCAAGCCUGAUGCAGCAACGCCGCGUGAGGGAUGACGGCCUUCGGGUUGUAAACCUCUUUUAGUAGGGAAGAAGCCGCAAGGUGACGGUACCUGCAGAAAAAGCACCGGCUAACUACGUGCCAGCAGCCGCGGUAAUACGUAGGGUGCAAGCGUUGUCCGGAAUUAUUGGGCGUAAAGAGCUCGUAGGCGGCUUGUCGCGUCUGCUGUGAAAACCCGGGGCUCAACCCCGGGCCUGCAGUGGGUACGGGCAGGCUAGAGUGCGGUAGGGGAGAUUGGAAUUCCUGGUGUAGCGGUGGAAUGCGCAGAUAUCAGGAGGAACACCGAUGGCGAAGGCAGAUCUCUGGGCCGUAACUGACGCUGAGGAGCGAAAGCAUGGGGAGCGAACAGGAUUAGAUACCCUGGUAGUC
rnacentral:rRNA from 1 species